UUAUCCCAACUAAGCAAAAAAACCACCAACAGCAAAAUAUUCAAUUCUUCAUCAUUACGUCGAUUAAAUUUGUCAAGAACUAAAACUCGAAAUAAUCGCUUCAAACCAUCAAAUUCAUAUCUAAAUUAGGGGAAAUUGUUAUGAGGAAACAUUAAAGCCCUAUAAAUUAUUUGGUGGGUUCUUGUAAAAGUCGGUUGUAAUGAAGAUAACUAAAAAAUAUAAUAAUAUAAAGCACAAAUCAAAUUUUGAGCCAAAAUGUGUACUCUUAACAUACCUUAUAAUUUAACAAAACCAUUGUUUGUUCCAGCUUGGUUGGAUUGAUGUUUCUUAAACAAAACAAAUAAUACGUAACUUCAUUUGUUCAAAUGACAUGUUCUAAAAAUUAAGACUGUAUAUGUCAAAGCAUUUUUUUACUUCAGAUAAUUUUGCUGAACAGGAUUCAAUUAAUCAGCCUUUUGUCCUUAUAAAAGCGACAAUACGUUCAAUUUCUUAG